AUUGCUUUCUGGCCUUUUGGCUAAGAUCAAGUGUAGUAUCUGUUCUUAUCAGUUUUAUAUAUUAUAUGUCCUCUAUCUGAGGAUAAUAUAUCAAAUAAAUUUUUUGAGCAGGGAUUUGGAAGAGGAACGUGCUCUGUUCACUCUAUGCAUCAACCUGGUAUUUCAGUACCUCCAGGAAUGGUGCACCCCUU
rnacentral:snRNA from 1 species